rnacentral:miRNA from 1 species
UCACCGGGAGUAAAACUGGUAU